ACUGAACAUCUAAGUACCCGGAGGAAAGGACAUCAACCGAGACUCCGCUAGUAGUGGCGAGCGAACGCGGACCAGGCCAGUGGCUAUAGGAUAAGAACCGGAACCGUCUGGAAAGUCGGGCAUUAGUGGGUGAUAGCCCCGUACGGGUAGAAAAUCUUAUAGUCCUCGAGUAGGGCGGGACACGUGAAAUCCUGUCUGAACGUGGGGGGACCACCCUCCAAGCCUAAGUACUCCUUGUCGACCGAUAGCGAACAAGUACCGUGAGGGAAAGGUGAAAAGUACCCCGACGAGGGGAGUGAAACAGUUCCUGAAACCGGAUGCCUACAAACAGUUGGAGGGCUUCGUGCCUAACAGCGUACCUUUUGUAUAAUGGGUCAGCGACUUAAUUUAACGAGCAAGCUUAAGCCGAUAGGUGUAGGCGUAGCGAAAGCGAGUCUGAAUAGGGCGCCCUAGUUCGUUGGAUUAGACCCGAAACCGAGUGAUCUAGCCAUGGCCAGGUUGAAGGUGCGGUAACACGCACUGGAGGACCGAACCCACGCCUGUUGAAAAAGUCGGGGAUGAGCUGUGGCUAGGGGUGAAAGGCCAAUCAAACUCGGAAAUAGCUGGUUCUCCGCGAAAUCUAUUUAGGUAGAGCGUCGGAUGAAUACUCUCGGGGGUAGAGCACUGGAUGGGCUAUGGGGGCUUACCGCCUUACUGAUCCUAACCAAACUCCGAAUACCGAGA
rnacentral:rRNA from 1 species